rnacentral:lncRNA from 1 species
AAAAUCAAACCUUAGACAAGGAUAAAUGGUCUUAAUUAGUUGAGAUACAAAUCCCUUUGCAAUUUCGAAUAAGCUUUAACUUAAAACAAAUACAUAUUAAUUGCAAUCAAAAAAGCAAAAUGAAAAUAUGUUCAACAACCGAAUUGAAAGUGUACAUAUUUUAAUGUGUAUUUUUAUUGUUGUCAUGCAACUAUAUUCAUAAAGAAUUGAUAUUUUUUAGACUUUAAUAGGUUAAUACAUACUGAACUAUAUUUUAAAGAAAACAAAUAUAUAGGUUUAAUAUUUUUUUAAC